rnacentral:rRNA from 1 species
AUUGAACGCUGGCGGCAUGCCUUACACAUGCAAGUCGAACGGCAGCACGGGAGCAAUCCUGGUGGCGAGUGGCGAACGGGUGAGUAAAGUAUCGGAACGUGCCCAGUCGUGGGGGAUAACGUAGCGAAAGUUACGCUAAUACCGCAUACGAUCUAUGGAUGAAAGCGGGGGAUCGCAAGACCUCGCGCGAUUGGAGCGGCCGAUAUCAGAUUAGGUAGUUGGUGGGGUAAAGGCUCACCAAGCCGACGAUCUGUAGCUGGUCUGAGAGGACGACCAGCAAAACUGGGACUGAGACACGGCCCAGACUCCUACGGGAGGCAGCAGUGGGGAAUUUUGGACAAUGGGCGAAAGCCUGAUCCAGCCAUGCCGCGUGCAGGAUGAAGGCCUUCGGGUUGUAAACUGCUUUUGUACGGAACGAAAAGGUUUGGGCUAAUAAGCUGAGCUCAUGACGGUACCGUAAGAAUAAGCACCGGCUAACUACGUGCCAGCAGCCGCGGUAA